rnacentral:rRNA from 1 species
AUACGGAAGGUCCGGGCGUUAUCCGGAUUUAUUGGGUUUAAAGGGAGCGCAGGCGGAGAUGCAAGCGUGACGUCAAAUUUCGGGGCUCAACCCCGUCUCGCGUCGCGAACUGCGUCCCUUGGUUGCGGGAAGGGGAGGCGGAACUCGUGGUGUAGCGGUGAAAUGCAUAGAUAUCACGAAGAACUCCGAUCGCGAAGGCAGCCUUCCGGCCCGUCAACGACGCUCAUGCUCGAAGGUGCGGGUAUCAAACAGGAUUAGAUACCCUGGUAGUCCGUACAGUAAACGAUGGACACCCGCGGUUUGGCCUAUAUGGCUGAGCCGCCAAGCGAAAGCGUUAAGUGUCCCACCUGGGGAGUACGCCGGCAACGGUGAAACUCAAAGGAAUUGACGGGG